UCCCCUUGCUGAUUUCAUUUGCAUCCUGAUUCGCUGUGCCCUUUUCUAGCCUGCAGAGCAAGGCUCCAUGAGGUCUGGUCCAUCACAGCGGCUCCCCUUGAAGAACAGAGGCUAGCCCAUGCGAGCUCCUCCCCGGGAUACUGCCGCAGAAAAACCAAUGAAGCCCCGAGGACUUCGAACUCUGGUCUGAGCCGAAGGACAGACCUCAGACAGCUCCCCGGAAGCCCUUGGUCUCUUUGGAGAGGUGUGCAAGCUGAACCCUGGCAGCAGUGACUGGGUUGGACUGAGUAUCCCACAAGGCAUCGCCAGGUCGCCUUCCCCAGAAAAGUAACCCCGGCUGGCUAGAAUCAUGCCUGCUGUUUCUGCACCACAGCACACAUAGCUUUAAAUAAAGGCAACCAGACCGGGAAGGAAGGAAGCCUCCCAGGCAGGGAGUGCCGACACCACAGCCAAACUCAGUAUGUGGCCUUUGGAUUCCAAGGUGCUCUGUGAUGGCCUGGCACAUCCGAUGGCACAACCAGAGGUUGGAGAACUCUGGAGGGAACCUUGCUCUCUCCUGGAUGCCUUGGACCCUCCCUUCACUCAGUGCUACCCGGGAGGGGCCUCCCCUGUGACACAGGUACAGCCUCCCCCCCCCACACCCUCCCAGAUGGCUUCACUUACAGUAGAAGAUGAAGACAAGGAAGAUGGCAAUGCCCUUCAUUCCCGAGGUGACCAGGAGGUCCACGGUUCGGGGAUUUCACCUUCAUUUGCCAGUUUGGCUCCUGUGUGGGGAGGAAGUAAGAGGCCAUGUGGGUACAAACCACUGUUGGGAUAAUUAUUCUAGGGGUUUGCCACACCCCCUUGUUGUCUUUAAAUAUCUGUUAAGGGUUUAUACCCUACUUAGACCAUAGAGUUCCCAAAUAAAAGACACAACAACCUUUAAA